AAUGACAACCGCAGUAAUAAUAAGCAGUAUCAAAACCUAAAGGUUUUAUCUGAUUCGAUUAGGACCACGGUGGGCGAAGAUUGUUGCACCGCAACUUUAAAGCAAAGCUGAAUUUUGGCCUGAACUAUUCUGAGGAGCUAGAAAUGAGGAACUUCCCAUUCCAUACUCUUACAAUCAGUGGAUUUCAAUUUACUAUUUGAAUAAUAUUUAUUUUUCUGUUUUUA